UACGUAGGUGGCAAGCGUUGUCCGGAAUUACUGGGCGUAAAGCGCGCGUAGGCGGUCUUUCGCGUAGGCGGUGAAAGCCCCCGGCUCACCCGGGGGAGGUCCGUCUAAACGGGGAGACUCGAGGGCGGUAGGGGCCGGUGGAACGCCCGGAGUAGCGGUGAAAUGCGUUGAGAUCGGGCAGAACACCAGUGGCGAAGGCGGCCGGCUGGGCCGUACCUGACGCUGAGGCGCGAAAGCCAGGGGAGCGAACGGA
rnacentral:rRNA from 1 species